UACGUAGGUGGCAAGCGUUGUCCGGAUUUAUUGGGUUUAAAGGGUGCGUAGGCGGCCCUGUAAGUCAGUGCUGAAAUAUCCCAGCUUAACUGGGAGGGUGGCAUUGAUACUACGGGGCUAGAGUACAGAUGAGGUAGGCGGAAUUGACGGUGUAGCGGUGAAAUGCUUAGAUAUCGUCAAGAACACCUAUAGCGAAGGCAGCUUACUAGGCUGUAACUGACGCUGAGGCACGAAAGUGUGGGGAUCAAACAGG
rnacentral:rRNA from 1 species